GACGAACGCUGGCGGCGUGCUUAACACAUGCAAGUCGAACGAGGCCCCUUCUUCGGGAGGGUGUUCUAGUGGCGAACGGGUGAGUAACACGUGGGCAACCUGCCCCCGGCUCUGGGAUAACUCCAAGAAAUUGGGGCUAAUACCGGAUAUGUCCGCUGACCGCAUGGUCUGGUGGUGGAAAGGGUUUCCGGCUGGGGAUGGGCCCGCGGCCUAUCAGCUUGUUGGUGGGGUAGUGGCUGACCAAGGCGACGACGGGUAGCCGGCCUGAGAGGGUUACCGGCCACACUGGGACUGAGACACGGGCCCGACUCCUACGGGAGGCAGCAGUAAGGAAUAUUGGGCAAUGGACGCAAGUCUGAACCAGCCAUGCCGCGUGGAGGAUGAAGGCCCUCUGGGUUGUAAACUUCUUUUAUAUGGGACGAAAAAGGGACUUUCUAGUCCAACUGACGGUACCAUGUGAAUAAGCACCGGCUAACUCCGUGCCAGCCGCCGCGGUAAUAC
rnacentral:rRNA from 1 species